ACCGUUUUAAUAAUCAUUCAAAUCACAGGUCGUGGGUGGGUGUAUGACUUAAUACAAUGAUUUGGUUCAUCAGUGGUUCAUGAAAUCAUCAGUGACAUAUCCACAUUACAUCAUGAACAUCAAUUGAUUACAUCAUCAUGAUUUUAAAGUUCAUCAGUUCGGUUGUUUGAGUACUUUUAAAAAAAAUGCACAGAAUCUUGAAGGUAGUUGUUUGCAAGAAAAGGAGAAACCGCCUGGGUGCUCGCCGUGCCAUCAGAAUCAUUAUCUCAGCCGCUCGACUCCUUAAACCCUCUGAAAGGGUAACGGUAGUAACUCAUUCCUCACUUGGUGGUUUCCCAUCCUGUAUGGCUCUCAGGUCUUCAGUCAUGAUAACUCACUGUCCCUCAUGAAUCACAGGGCCUGAGGUGAAGACAGACGACUCAUCUCCUUCGCCAUCUGUCCCCUUUUGACAAGCUUGUCGAAGGAAGAUGUCGGUUCAUCAUCAUAACGCUCUCUGCUACAGCGGCUCUAGUCUCCUCUCCCGCAGCGGCUCUAGGUCUCCUCUGCUACAGCGGCUCUAGUCUCCUCUGCUACAGCGGCUCUAGGUCUGUACCAGAAGUGUGAAAGCUGAUACAGGCUUUCUAAACCUGACCUCUGCCUCGUCUCUCCUCUUAUCCCCCCCCCACCCCAG
ensembl:lncRNA